AUGUCCGUAACUCAGUCAGGUAGAGUGCCAUCAUGACAUGAUGGAAGUCAGUGGUUCAAUUCCACUCGGACAUA
rnacentral:tRNA from 1 species